rnacentral:rRNA from 1 species
ACUCCCUACGGGAGGCAGCAGUGGGGAAUAUUGCACAAUGGGGGAAACCCUGAUGCAGCCAUGCCGCGUGUGUGAAGAAGGCCUUCGGGUUGUAAAGCACUUUCAGUAGGGAGGAAGGUAGUGUAGUUAACACCUGCACUAUUUGACGUUACCUACAGAAGAAGCACCGGCUAACUCCGUGCCAGCAGCCGCGGUAAUACGGAGGGUGCGAGCGUUAAUCGGAAUUACUGGGCGUAAAGCGCAUGCAGGCGGCCUGUUAAGUCAGAUGUGAAAGCCCGGGGCUUAACCUCGGAAUUGCAUUUGAAACUGGCAGGCUAGAGUCUUGUAGAGGGGGGUAGAAUUUCAGGUGUAGCGGUGAAAUGCGUAGAGAUCUGAAGGAAUACCAGUGGCGAAGGCGGCCCCCUGGACAAAGACUGACGCUCAGAUGCGAAAGCGUGGGGAGCAAACAGGAUUAGAUACCCUGGUAGGAUAGCG